GAUGAACGCUGGCGGCGUGCCUAACACAUGCAAGUCGAACGGAGUAUCUUAUAUAGACUUUCUUAGGAGAUGAAAUAUUAGAUACUUAGUGGCGGACGGGUGAGUAACGCGUGGGUAACCUACCUCAUACAGGGGGAUAACAACCGGAAACGGCUGCUAAAACCGCAUAACAAAGACUAAUCGCAUGAUUAAUCUUUCAAAUAUUUCAUAGGUAUGAGAUGGGCCCGCGUCUGAUUAGCUAGUUGGUGAGAUAAAAGCCCACCAAGGCGACGAUCAGUAGCCGGCUUGAGAGAGUGACCGGCCACAUUGGGACUGAGACACGGCCCAAACUCCUACGGGGGGCAGCAGUGGGGGAUCUUGCACAAUGGGCGAAAGCCUGAUGCAGCGACGCCGCGUGAGCGAAGAGGCCUCGGUUGUAAGCUCUGUCUGGAGGGACGAAGGAAGUGACGGUACCUCCGGAGGAAGCCACGGCUAACUACGUGCCAGCAGCCGAC
rnacentral:rRNA from 1 species